rnacentral:misc_RNA from 1 species
CCAAGAUGUGCCAAAACAAGCAUUGAAGACUAUGAAUUUCAGGAGAUUCUCAUCUGAGCUGCUUAGGGCAUCAUCUGAACUGACAGAAACAGUAUAAUCUUGAUAAGAAUCUAUUAUUGGUCCAUCGUUUCUCACAAUAAUUCUGCCAUGCUUCCUCAAAAUUCUUUCAAGAUGAAACAUAGUGCUUUUCCAGCAAUUCUUGUCUAUCCCCAACCACUUUAAUGUGCAGCCACUGCUUUCAAAAGCCCUCAUUGGAAGUUCUUCAUGCAGCCUCAUUAGAGUUGCUGCUCUUUCAGCAUUGGCCCAGCAACAACAUGUGGAUGAUCCAUCAUCCAACACAAAACCUACAAGAGGAAUGUCAACGAAGUGUUCAGCCUGGACUUCAGAACGUAAGCCAUAAUAUUUUAUAUUCUUCUCCAGAACCAAGACAUGGACAGCAACAACCCUGCAAUUAAACCGCAUUGGCUUGCAAUCUGAGCACUGAAUCAAUUCAGAAAUCAUACCAGAAGAAACAUUGUCCAAAGAGGAAGCAGAUGGCAUACACAAAGUAGAGCAGAAUUUAAAACAUUUAUCAUUGUAUUGUUCAUUUGCAACCCUUAUGGAGUUCAAAACGAUAAAUGAUGCAGGUGUCAGCUGCAAUUUAUUUGUCACCCUCAAUUUAAGAAUUCGAUGAAAUGUUGCAUUUACACCAGGUCCAAAUCCAACAGGAUAUGCAUGUUUGCUAAGAGAACCAAAAAUGCUUACCAUUUGAUUAUCCACCAAAACAUGGAUGCAAGAAAUGUUUGUGCUUUCACGAAAAAAUUUCAUGUGAAGACCAUCAUCUAAUCUUUCACAGCUUAAAUGGGCAUUGGCAGAAUUGCAGUCAAAACCAUGAAUGUCUACCACAUCUCCACACACAGAUGUUAAAUUUCCCUCAGGAAAAAGGCAAGUAAAAUCAAGGGAUCCAGAAAAGAAACCAGUUGAAGAUAUCGUGGACAAAAUAUCAGAAGAAUCACUUAAAGUCUCUUCUGGGGUCAUAAUUGGCUCAGUGUGGGCUUCUUUAUUUUCAUUAAGCUUUACUUCCAAAAAAGCCUUUGCAUUUGCAGAGAGAUGAAGACAAACAUCCGAAGACAAUUCUGGAACAUUACCAGUGGACCUCAAGUGUAGUUCAACUUGAUCUCUUAUAGGAAAUUCUCUACAACUGAUAGAAGAAUCAUUUUGAGGAGGAAGAUUUGAAGAUUUAUUAUUUGUUACUACAUCAUCAGAAGAGAAAGAAAGGCUCCACAUGUGUGUUCUGGAAGAGAUAAUAACUUUAACACCGCUAACAUUAUCAUAGUCCUUAAUGCUACAAAAGGAUUCUUCUGGAUGGUGCUUUAUGAUGUAACAACUGCCAAUCUGCAACGCCUGAGACUUGAACAAAUUUUCAGAGUUGAAUUCUAGCAACACCUUCUCUGCACUCAGUUUACAGUCAGCAACAAUCUUUACCUUGGAUUUUGUGAAGCACAGUUUUCCUGAAGCACCUAAGUUUUGCCUAUUAGCAGUUCUGACAGUGGCCAGGCAUGGAAUUUCAAGAGAACUCAAGUUUCCACAUUCCCCCUCAUUGGAUCCCUUUAAAGCCUGGCUUGAUGCCUGAUCAAUUUUCCGCUUCUUAUUGGACAGAUGCUCCUGGUAAUUUUCAUUGGGAUAAUGUGCCAACAAUUCAUUAAGCCAAUCCCCUGAAAUCUUAAAUGGAAGCAUAGCUCCAUCUUUCACUCCAAGAAACAGAUCCCAAGGCAAGAUAAUGGCCUCAGCAAACAUAGUACAACAGUCUGUUAUCACCGGAUCACCUUUAAACUUUUGUAGCACAGGAUAUUUGUGUGUUACACAUAUCAGAUGAAAUCUUCCACCUUGAAGUUCCAUAAAUUCAUUAUUCCAGUCCACACAAGGAUAAAACGGAAGAUUUCUGCAAGUUGCAUUGCUUAAGUGAAAACUGAUAUAAAUGGUUAAUUUCAUCUCUCUUGCCCAAGGGGUGUGAUAAAAGAUAUGCCUGCAUGAGAGUGACUCACUGUCAGGCAAUCCUGUAUGAUCCACAAGGUCAGGUGUGCCUUCCACAAUUAGAUUAUAGUCAACAACCUCAUAGAUGCAAUUGGACUUCCAAGUGGAUGGAAAGUUGGGUAUUAUAACAUCAAUGCUUCCUGUUGCAUCAACUAACUGCAACCUUCCAGAAUAUGGAGAAAUCUUUAGACUUCCAAGCAAAGAAACUCCUAUAUCUUCACUUUGAAACAUCCUCCUCAACGUUCGACUAUGAGAUCUUCCUUCACACGACACAAGAUCAAAUUGAGAUUCGUCACGCAAGAUGUAAAAGUUGCUCUCCAUCUGCAAGAGUGCUUUCAUCCACAUGACCUCACAAUGAUGGAGAAAGGUAGAGAUAGGUGCCACCAAUUUCAGGUCAGCACAAUAUGCUUCACUAUCACAACCACAUGAGUUAUGCUUGCAUAGUUCUGUAAGUAUUCCAUGCAAUUUACCCGAGCAUGAAUCACUGAAGGGGGUAAAUGUGAAUUAGAAAACAUCUGAGCCAGUCCUUCCUUCUGGUUACACAUGUUUUGAUCCCAAGAUCUCUUUUUCUGAUAAAAUCCCAGCAAACUUCUUGCGAAAACUUGAAAUGAUAAGUAGUGCCCUGAAAAUCCAACCGUCAUUUCAAGCAAAUGAAUUGAGAAUGUUAUAUGUUUGAAUCAUCCUGUGAAACCAUUAAAUUUCCUAGAAGUAUGUUCAAAAUUCCAUACCAUAUUCUGGCAGAAAAAGUCAAGGAAUUAAUAAACUUCCCCAACUGACUUUGAGAUUGAAAAACUAUAUUAGACCUGCAGUACAGAAUUUGAUCGCUAUUAUACAUGCCAUGCAUGUUUAGAUGUCCACCAAAAAUUGAAUAGGUUCCAAACAUUUUUGCAUAAGCAGCAAAGGGACAAAAUCAUUACUUCAAACAAGGCCAUCAGAAAAUAUAAAGGCCACCAACCAAAAUUAGCACAGUACUAGUGUCAGGCCAUUUGCUGGAAUAAUCACUCAAUUUCUAGAGGAAAUCAACAAACCCAUGAUAAUUUUGGCAAGGAUGCAAGAGGCAUAAAAUAAUAAAAAUAUCUUUAGCCCAUACCCCGUUUCCAAUGGUGAGAAUGACUCUACAGUAAUGCUAGUCUUUAAGCAAGUCCCAAGUAUAAGCAUUUGCGUCCAAGUGAAUUUUGGAUUAACAAAAUGCACAUUUCUCAAAGAAAUCUACAUCAAAAGCAAAUAAUGAGAAAAAAAAAUGUGUUGCAGACUCAUCACCUGGCAUGUUGAGCAUAAAAUUGUAAGCAUCAAAGCUUUUUUUUUUCUUCCGACUAACAUGGUAGACAAAUUAAUUUUACUUACAAUGGCGCCCACCCUUAAACUAUGUGGUGCAGCAAGUAGCUGAUCAGUUAGUACAAGCCAUACUUCUUUGUCCAGCUCAAUGACCAUUCCUUGCAUGUAUACACCCUUGACAACACCAGUAUAAGCACCGCAUUCUCCUUUUCCCACAAUAACAUUUCCCAAAAAUGGUGACCAUUUCUUGGAUAACCUAGGCAAAUGCAAAACAGAAUUUUCUGUAGUUACAAACAUCAAUUGAGACUUGUCUUUCCCUAUAAAAACCAACUUCUUUUUCAGCCCCGAUAGCCUGACAUCAUUCCCUACAAGCUUGGCAAUCACAGGAUGCCAGCUCCAAGAAGAACCAAAGAAAUAUAUAAACAAAGGUUUUGUAAAAGAAUGAGGAUGCUGUCCUUGAGCUAAAUUAUGUAAAACUGUAACAGACUCCUUAAAAUUACACAAUUUACACUCACAAACCAUAAUUCGUACAAUAAACCCGCGAAGAUUGUUUGUCUUGCUAUCACCACUUAAACAUGGUACAAGUGAAACAGGACUUGUUGAUUCAAUUGGGCCGUGAACGCUAAAACGAGCUUUGGCAUCGUCUGCGAUAGUGGGAGGAGGAGGAGAAGAACCUGAAACUAUAGGAAAUGAAUCCAUACUGGAACAGCGGGAAAAGGUACUACUACUUGAAUCUGGAAAACUCCAUUUGAUAAUCUCUAAAAACCCACCACCAGAAUGUUUUAGGGGAAUGAAAUUCCAAGCGAGGACCUGAAUCUUCUUUCCAAUUACACGGACACUAAAAUCGAGAAUAUCGCAGCAAAUGGUAGAUGAACCGUCCGAGAACUGAAAGCAAUUCUUAUUCGGGCAUUUUAGGGUUUCAGUAGGAAGAAGUAGGGUUCCCACGAGCAUAGCCGGCUGACUCAAAGGAGCGAGUAUUUUAAGGUUAGGGUUUGAGUUAGUAGUGAGACCAGGAGGUGGUUGUUGGGAUUGGGAAUUUUUAUCCAUGGAUUUUGAUUUGGAGGACGGAGGACGUACAGAAACGCUGGGAGAGGAAUUGAGAGAGGAUGUGGCCGUCAAUGGCCGACCACGACGGAGCAGCUCUGAGAUUGUGAGUAGCUCCACAGCUUCUUCCAUUUUGCUAGAAUUUUCAAGCGAAAUUAGAUUGGGAUGU